AGCGAACGUUAGCGGCGCGCCUAACACAUGCAAGUCGCACGAGAAAGGGGGCAACCCCCGGUACAGUGGCGCACGGGUGAGUAACACGUAGACGACCUUCCCUGGAGUGGUGGAUAACCUGCCGAAAGGCGGGCUAAUACAGCAUGGGACCACAUGGUUUUGACCGAGUGGUGAAAGCGGGCCUCUGUUCACAAGCUCGCGCUCUGGGAUGGGUCUGCGGCCCAUCAGCUGGUUGGUGAGGUAACGGCUCACCAAGGCAACGACGGGUAGCUGGUCUGAGAGGAUGACCAGCCACACUGGAACUGAGACACGGUCCAGACUCCUACGGGAGGCAGCAGUGGGGAAUCUUGCGCAAUGGGCGAAAGCCUGACGCAGCGACGCCGCGUGGGUGAUGAAGGCCCUCGGGUUGUAAAGCCCUGUGGGGAGGAACGAACCGUUCGGGGGUGAAUACCCUCCGAGCCUGACGGUACCUCCUUAGCAAGCAUCGGCUAACUCUGUGCCAGCAGCCGCCGUAAUAC
rnacentral:rRNA from 1 species